GCUCGACUCAGAGUUAUUUGGGAAAAACAAAGUUAAGAGAGCUCCUCUCAUAUGUUUCUUUAAAACAGUGUCAUCAAGAGAGCGCGUCUGCAAGGAGAACGGAAUAGGCGUUUGGGUUAAAACGGCAGUUCGUGCUAAAUCAGAUGUGAAGUUACGACCAGGCUUCAGAAAUAGCUGAAAGGAUUUGAGCGACGACGACUGAUUUUGCCAUAGAGAGUGCCAAGAGAAUUUCAGAUGAGCAGAUGACGAGGGGAGCCGACACUUGGAAAACCUGCCCUUCCUUACAACGGGAACGGAGGGAAAGGCCUCCAAACCUGCAACCACAGCUGCCGAGGAGGGAUGAUGAGCAAAUCCUGCAGCCUGCUGGAGUGCUGCGCCUUGCUACUCGAUGGCGCAGAGCUGGAGCCCAACCCUUUCUCAUGGCAUCUAUUUAAUCAGAGGCGCAUAAGCUAAAGCAGAGAUACACGUCCUCAUCUGUCUGACCUUACAGCAGUUCAACUUUUAGGACUUCAUUAAAAAAAAAAAGAAAGAAAGAAAGAAAAAAGAAAAAAGCGUUUGGGAACAUUUCUGGAAACACUUUCUUGGAUAAUAAUGGGAAUCCUCAUAGCCCGAGCGGAACCUGAUCCAUAUUAAAAUUCUCGGUGGAAAAUU